rnacentral:tRNA from 1 species
UUGGUUAAAGCCAAAGUAGAGGCAUAUCACUGUUAAUGAUAGAAAUGAGGAAAUUUAACUUCUAACCAAG